AUGGUGCCUCCCCUCCCCUCGACGGCGGCGUCCGGGCCCUCCUCUCCCUGCACCGGCCCACCUCUUUGCUUCUGCCCUCCCCCUCCCCCGCCUUCGACAAGCACCCCAGCGCUCGCGACGCAAGGCACAGAAGCGCAGUCUGUCUCGGCCGCCGCCGCCGUCGUUUCGUCGCCGCUCGGAAACGCCGAUGCCCAUGAAGACAACAAGGACGACGAGGGCUCCUUCGGCCCCGAGAUCUUCUGCCGCCACUCCCAGGAGGCGGUCGCCCGGCAGGGUCCGCACGCAGGUCGACGCCAUCCACCACUGCUUCUCGUGACGCCACGCCGACCGCGCCUCCAGCGUCCUCGCAGAGCUCGCAAAAAUGGUGACUAUCCUUGUCAUCUCCAGAUUGAAGCCUCUCAUCUUAGCCUCUUCUCCAAGCAUGCACCGCAGACUGUAGAAAGAGUUUCGGAUGGGUCUACAUGGAGGAUGAACAAGUUCACAGACUUCUCACCAUUCUUGAUGCCGCACCCAUGUGAUUCACAUCUCUGGGAACGCCAUCUCUUCCAUCGUGUGCCUUGGUUGGUUAGUGGAAUUUACCUGGAACUUAUGAUUGACGUCUUUCCUGGGGAGAGUUCCUGGACACCGGAGUCUCCCCCUGGACCUGACUUCCGCCAAAUGGCCAACUACUUGACACCUGAACAAAGGGAUAAAAGUCAGAGGCAUGGGGAUGAUGAUGUCAUGGAUGUUUGGAAAAUGGUAACGACGAGAGUUCUUCAUGCAGUAAGAAACCAUAAUUUAUGGGUUAACUUCUCCUUGAGCUGGCUCGUGUCUCCACAUGCCUUUUGCUCCCUUAACCUCCUCCUUCCUAUGAAAUCUUUAUUAGCUCAUAAUGAUACCUCUCCAAUUCUUGCUUGCUUGCUACACCACCCUGAAAUUGCAAACAAGAUCAUAGAUUAG
rnacentral:rRNA from 1 species